ACAACUUUCAACAACGGAUCUCUUGGCUCUUGCAUCGAUGAAGAACGCAGCGAAAUGCGAUAAGUAAUGUGAAUUGCAGAAUUCAGUGAAUCAUCGAAUCUUUGAACGCAUCUUGCACUCCUUGGUAUUCUGAGGAGCAUGCCUGUUUGAGUGUCAUUAAA
rnacentral:rRNA from 1 species